rnacentral:rRNA from 1 species
UACGAAGGGGGCUAGCGUUGCUCGGAAUUACUGGGCGUAAAGAGCGCGCAGGCGGUCGUUCAAGUCGCGUGUGAAAGCCCCCGGCUCAACUGGGGAGGGUCACGCGAUACUGAUCGACUCGAAGGCAGGAGAGGGUAGUGGAAUUCCCGGUGUAGUGGUGAAAUGCGUAGAUAUCGGGAGGAACACCAGUGGCGAAGGCGACUACCUGGCCUGUUCUUGACGCUGAGGCGCGAAAGCUAGGGGAGCAAACGGG